AAAAAGGUAAGCUAAUAUAAGCUACUGGGUUCAUACCCCAUUUAUAAAGGACCGUCCCCUUUUCUUUUUA
rnacentral:tRNA from 1 species